rnacentral:rRNA from 1 species
GAUGAACGCUGGCGGCGUGCCUAAUACAUGCAAGUCGAGCGAACAGACGAGGAGCUUGCUCCUCUGACGUUAGCGGCGGACGGGUGAGUAACACGUGGAUAACCUACCUAUAAGACUGGGAUAACUUCGGGAAACCGGAGCUAAUACCGGAUAAUAUAUUGAACCGCAUGGUUCAAUAGUGAAAGACGGUUUUGCUGUCGCUUAUAGAUGGAUCCGCGCCGCAUUAGCUAGUUGGUAAGGUAACGGCUUACCAAGGCAACGAUGCGUAGCCGACCUGAGAGGGUGAUCGGCCACACUGGAACUGAGACACGGUCCAGACUCCUACGGGAGGCAGCAGUAGGGAAUCUUCCGCAAUGGGCGAAAGCCUGACGGAGCAACGCCGCGUGAGUGAUGAAGGUCUUCGGAUCGUAAAACUCUGUUAUUAGGGAAGAACAAAUGUGUAAGUAACUAUGCACGUCUGGACGGUACCUAAUCAGAAAGCCACGGCUAACUACGU